GUGGGAGUGAGCACAAGGACUAAUUAGUGGUGUCACUGGUCUUAGAAAAAAAAAAUCGAUACGCCCUCUAAUAUGGAACAUAUGAAGAAGGUGUUGUAUUUGGCAUUCAAGCAUUGGUUUUCCUUUUGGAUCUUGCUUGAUGAAAAGAGAAAAUUUCAUCGUUAUGGGGAUAGAUCAUUGCAAUUGCUGGUCUUCGGCAAGGAAUGCCUAGUAAGCGCGAGUCAUCAGCUCGCGUUGACUACGUCCCUACCCUUUGUA
rnacentral:rRNA from 1 species